UACGAAGGGGGCUAGCGUUGCUCGGAAUGACUGGGCGUAAAGCGCGCGUAGGCGGCUUUGUAAGUUAGAGGUGAAAGCCCGGGGCUCAACUCCGGAACUGCCUUUAAGACUGCAUCGCUUGAAUCCGGGAGAGGUGAGUGGAAUUCCGAGUGCAGAGGUGAAAUUCGUAGAUAUUCGGAAGAACACCAGUGGCGAAGGCGGCUCACUGGACCGGUAUUGACGCUGAGGUGCGAAAGCGUGGGGAGCAAACAGG
rnacentral:rRNA from 1 species